CUGAACUCUCAGACACUCUGCAGCAGCUGACUGUAGUUGUGUAUGAAGCUCAGGACAAGGACUUGACUCAGUGGUUCCUGGAGAAGGUUGGUGGAGACCUGACCUCCUGCAGGCUGGACUGGGAAGUGCUUCUCUCUCUGCUGCAGCAUUCAACCCACAACAUCACUGUGGACCUCAGGAAGAACGGGCUUCUAGAGAAGAACAUCUCAGAUCUUCUCCCCUUUCUGGGAAGGGUUACUCUCAAGAGGUCCAGUUCCAGCUUUGUAAAGUCCUCCAUCAGACAGAUCUAUGACAGUAGAGCCAGUGACUGUGUGUCCAGUUUGUUGAGGUCUUCAGACCAUUGGAUCAACCUGAACAGCAGAGAGCUGGACAGAGUGGAGUGUACUGCUCUGUGUUUUACCCUGCAGCACAGCCACCAAGUCAAAGUCAACCUGCUGUGGACCUCCAUACCACCGGGGGAGAUAGAGAGCAUCCUGCUCUUCUGGACAGAGUCUCCCAACUCAGUGUUGACAGGAGGUUACUGCUGAGUUUCCUCCAGUGCUGUGCUGCCUCUCAGAUCCAGCAGGGGGCACCACCACCACCAACAGCAGUAUGGCUGCUCAGGUCUCUGCACUACAGGCUGGACUUCUCCUGCUCCUCCUCUGUGGACCUGUCAGCUCAGGACCAGGAGAAGGCUCUGUGUCUACCACUGACCACUGCAGGGCCAUCGGC